CUGCCGGUGCAUGCUGGGAGCGGCGGCCGCCAUCCCUCUGUGGGGAUAGAGUCCCGCCCGCUUCCUAUGCCGGGGUACUGUCUAUUGGAAGUGAGGCCGCCAUUGCUCUGUGGAGAGAACUUCGCCCCGAUGACAAAAGAAACAGCCUCUGGACUUGGGGAGAUCCUGGCCUGAGAAUUUGAUCAGCCGUGAUACUGGGAACAUGUGAGAGUACAAGUCUGUUAUUUUGAUGAGCUGCCCAGGAGAGUGAAUUUCAGAGGCACAAGUCCACUGAUGAGAAUGUCCAGCCAGCAGAUGUGGUGGCAUGUGCAAGGAUAAGUUCUGAGAGCAAGCUUUUUACAUUUGAUCUGCUGAGAUGUGGGGCAGGAUAAGACGUGGCCUCUGACAAAAAACCAGGUCGCAGCUGAUUUAAGAUGAAAUGACAUUUUUUACCUGAAUCCUAAGGUAACCUUCAUGUUCCCUGAAGAUUCGAUAAGUGUAGAUGAGCCGUUCAAAGCUGUGAAGAGAUACCCUUUCAUAAGUUGUUUUUUAUCAACAUUCAAGGAACAACAAUGGCUAGACACCACUACAUCUAAAACUUUUGGUGGAAGUAUUUUUUUUUUUAAAUGUAAACCAAGCUAAAACAAUAAAUGACUAAAACCCCA